rnacentral:rRNA from 1 species
GACGAACGCUGGCGGCGUGCUUAACACAUGCAAGUCGAACGGAGUGGCGAACGGGUGAGUAACACGUGGGUGAUCUGCCUUGCACUUCGGGGAAAGCUUGGGAAACUGGGUCUAAUACCGGAUAGUGCAAGAUGAGCUCGCGGCCAAUGAGCUUGUUGGUGGGGUAAUGGCCUACCAAGGCGUCGACGGGUAGCCGGCCUUAGAGGGGAUACGGCGUCAUUGGUACUACGAUACGGCGCAGAGUCGUACGGGGGGCAGCAGGGUGGAAUAUUGUACAGUGGUCGGAAGCGUGAGGCAGCGACGCCGCGUGGGUGAGGAAGUCCUGCGGGUGGUAAACUCCUUUCGACAGGGACGCGGUACCUGUAUAAGAAGCACCGGCUAACUACGUGCCAGCAGCCGCGGUAAUAC